UGGGGAAUAUUGCACAAUGGGCGCAAGCCUGAUGCAGCCAUGUCGCGUGUAUGAAGAAGGCCUUCGGGUUGUAAAGUACUUUCAGCGGGGAGGAAGGUGUUGAGGCUAAUAACCUCAGCAAUUGACGUUACCCGCAGAAGAAGCACCGGCUAACUCCGUGCCAGCAGCCGCGGUAAUACGGAGGGUGCAAGCGUUAAUCGGAAUUACUGGGCGUAAAGCGCACGCAGGCGGUCUGUCAAGUCGGAUGUGAAAUCCCCGGGCUCAACCUGGGAACUGCAUUCGAAACUGGCAGGCUAGAGUCUUGUAGAGGGGGGUAGAAUUCCAGGUGUAGCGGUGAAAUGCGUAGAGAUCUGGAGGAAUACCGGUGGCGAAGGCGGCCCCCUGGACAAAGACUGACGCUCAGGUGCGAAAGCGUGGGGAGCAAACA
rnacentral:rRNA from 1 species